CAUUACAAGUGAGGCUACCGAACGUUGGAAACAGCGGUUAGGAGCUUACACCCACCCGUGUUUACAUACUAUUGUUGCUUUGGCGGGCCGUGGCCUCCACUGCGGGCUCUGCUCGUGUGUGCCCGCCAGAGAACCAAACUCUGAAUGUUAGUGAUGUCCGAGUACUAUCUAAUAGUUAAAACUUUCAACAACGGAUCUCUUGGUUCUGGCAUCGAUGAAGAACGCAGCGAAAUGCGAUAAGUAAUGUGAAUUGCAGAAUUCAGUGAAUCAUCGAAUCUUUGAACGCACAUUGCGCCCUGUGGUAUUCCGCAGGGCAUGCCUGUUCGAGCGUCAUUUAACCACUCACGCCUAGCGUGGUAUUGGGGCACGCGGUCUCCGCGGCCCUCAAAAUUAGUGGCGGCGCCGGUGGGCUCUAAGCGUAGUACAUACUCCCGCUAUAGAGUUCCCCCCGGUGGCUCGCCAGAACCCCCAAUUUUUACAGGUUG
rnacentral:rRNA from 1 species